CAGCGCUAGCUUGGUUAGCACUGCCAAUGCUACAUUAGUUAUCCAUGACUUUAAUGGUUAGACCAAAUGAAACGCGAUGAGAAGAAAGAGUUCAGACCUUCGAGUCGUUCAGAAAACAAGAAGCUAAAAACAUCAGAGGAGCUUUCCAUCUUGGGUGAUGACCAGUCCACAGACUCUACUCUUAAAGGCAGGGAUAUCCAGGCUUUGGCCAGUCACCCACAGGGGCUCAAUAAACUUCAUGUACCAAAGCCACCUAAGAGCCAUCAGAAACCACUGCUCAUGGCUUGUGUGCG